rnacentral:rRNA from 1 species
AUUGAACGCUGGCGGCAGGCCUAACACAUGCAAGUCGAACGAGUGGCGGACGGGUGAGUAAUGUCUGGGAAACUGCCUGAUGGAGGGGGAUAACUACUGGAACCGGUAGCUAAUACCGCAUACCAUCGGAUGUGCCCAGAUGGGCUUAGCUAGUAGGUUGGGUAAAGGCUCACCUAGGCGACGAUCCCUAGCUGGUCUGCGAGGAUGACCAGCCAAAAUGGAACUGAGACACGGUCCAGACUCCGACGGGAGGCAGCAGGGGGGAAUAUUGCACAAUGGGCGAAAGCCUGAUGCAGCCAGGACGCGUGUAUGAAGAAGGCCUUCGGGUUGUAAAGUACUAUCAGCGGGGAGGAGUUACCCGCAGAAGAAGCACCGGCUAACUCCGGGCCAGCCGCCGCGGUAAUUC